GAGUUUGAUCGUGGCUCAGGAUGAACGCUGGCGGCGUGCCUAAUACAUGCAAGUCGAGCGAACAGACGAGGAGCUUGCUCCUCUGACGUUAGCGGCGGACGGGUGAGUAACACGUGGAUAACCUACCUAUAAGACUGGGAUAACUUCGGGAAACCGGAGCUAAUACCGAAUAAUAUAUUGAACCGCAUGGUUCAAUAGUGAAAAACGGUUUUGCUGUCACUUAUAGAUGGAUCCGCGCCGCAUUAGCUAGUUGGUAGGGUAACGGCUUACCAAGGCGACGAUGCGUAGCCGACCUGAGAGGGUGAUCGGCCACACUGGAACUGAGACACGGUCCAGACUCCUACGGGAGGCAGCAGUAGGGAAUCUUCCGCAAUGGGCGAAAGCCUGACGGAGCAACGCCGCGUGAGUGAUGAAGGUCUUCGGAUCGUAAAACUCUGUUAUUAGGGAAGAACAAAUGUGUAAGUAACUAUGCACGUCUUGACGGUACCUAAUCAGAAAGCCACGGCUAACUACGUGCCAG
rnacentral:rRNA from 1 species